rnacentral:rRNA from 1 species
ACAAUGGAGAGUUUGAUCCUGGCUCAGGAUGAACGCUAGCUACAGGUUUAACACAUGCAAGUCGAGGGGAAACGGCAUUGAGUGCUUGCACUCUUUGGACGUCGACCGGCGCACGGGUGAGUAACGCGUAUCCAACCUUCCCAUUACUGUGGGAU